rnacentral:tRNA from 1 species
AGUUUAUGAGCUUGAACAAGCAUAUGUUUUGAAAACAUAAGAUAGAAACAACCCUUUCUAUAAACUU